rnacentral:sRNA from 1 species
CAUUCUGAUGUUCUUCUUUUCCUUCUGGUGUUCCAAUCUAUCUUCUGUAAUCAUUUCCUCUCUGUGUAGAGAACUUUCUUCAGUCAUUCUUUCAUAGUUAAUCUGCUGGCCACAAACUCUCUAAGUUUUUCUUCGUCUGGGAAUGGCCUUUGUCCCCGCGUCACUCCGAGGGCAUCUCACGGGAUGUGGAUUUCCAGGUGGUGACUCUCCUCAUCCAGUGCCUGGGAAGCGCGUGUCCCUGCACCCAGCUUCUGUGUUCCAGCUGUGAAACCUGCGCGAUUUAGACUUGUGCUUCUCUCGAAGGAAGGAGGGGUUUCUCUCUGGCAGCUUUCAAGGUGUUUUCUCUGUCUUUAGUUUUCAGAAAUUGUAUUACCGUGCGUCCUGGAGCAGACUUCUCUGGGUUUGUUCUGUUUCGAUUCACUCGGUUUCUCGCGUCUGUGGGUUUAUGUCUCUUGGCUAACAGGAAGUUUUCAGCCAUUAUUUCCUCACAUCCUUUUUCGGUCCACUUGUUCUCUGCUUCUGCGAUUGCAGAAACUUAGAAAUCUGCUCUUUCGUUAGGGUCCUGCGGGUCUCUGAGGCCUUGACCGUCCUCGAUCCGUUUCUGUGUGUUCAGGCGGAUGAAUUCUGUCUGUCCUCGGGGUCACCGGUUCUGCCCUGUCUCGUCUCCACUCUGCCACUUAGCCCAUCCCCAGAGAUUUUUAUUAUGACUGUAUUUUUUUAGUUGUAUAAUUUCCACUUCUUUUAUGUAGCCUUUAUUUCUUUGCUGAGAUUUUCUAUUUUUUAUUUGUUUACAGAGAGUGUGGCCUUUUGAAGCGUUUUAAUCAUGGCUGCUUUAGCACCCUCAUCAGAUAACUCCAGUAUCCAUUCGUCUCGAUGUGAAGUCUGGCGCUUGUCUUUUCUCCUUCAAGUUGUGAUUUUCCCAAUUCUUAAUAUGAUGCGCGACUUUUUGUUGUAUCCUGGGUGGUUCGUGUGUUUCUUAGGAGGCUUUAAACCGGUGGCUCCCCUGGGGAGGGUGGUGUGAGGCCCCCAGCCCCGCCCCGCCCCAACGGCUGACAAGCGCUUCCUCAUGGCAGGUAGUGGGGUGGAAGAAUUUUUUAGUAUUUGCCUUUUGCCAGAUCUUCUGUUACGUCUUCCCUGCUGUCAGUAGCUCAGCCAGGCAGGCAGGAAAGUGGAAGGAAUGAACGGCUGUUUACCUGGGUUUUCCUGAGGUUCAGCCCAGGCUAGAGCCCCAGCUUGGCCAUGCUCUGGCCGUGCAAGCCUGGCAGCUUUCUGUGAAUUGGGCAGGAUGUGGGAACAGUGCCUACCUGGUGGGCCGUGGGAAGACUGAAAGAGAAAACCAGGCAGGGCACUUAGUGCAGCCGCUGGUGGAAGCAGUGGUUAGAGUUCAUUCGGUAAGAGGGUCCUUAUGGCCAUUUUCCUUUGAUCCAGAUGUCUUUAAAUAUCAGAAAAAUAACGCUUUUAGUCCCAACCCCCAAAUCGGAAUCAGUUCUUAUUCCUUCUGGCUACAAUGUUGAACAUAAGUUGAACAACAUGAUUUGGACAACAGAAGGAAGGGUUGUCAUAUUAGCGGGAGAUGACUUCUAGUUAAGAGGUCUGAGCGUUUUCCACGCACAACCAGUUAUUCUCAAUGGAGGGCAGACUCUCCAUACGAAACAAGCAGAGCAAACACCACGUUGAUCUCACUGCCACGUUCUUUCCAGUUACACGCAGGUCUAACAUAUUGGCAUAAGACAUUGUCUUAAUCAGAACACUUUUAAAGCUUUUUUUUUUCCUUUUUCAAUUCAAAAAAUUAAUGCAGUACAGGUAUUGAUCCCACUGAAAUUGUUCUAAUUCAGUCAUGACACUUCAUGUUUACAAAGAGUUAAUGACUUGGAAAAAUACUCUGUUAUGCUGUUAAACUUAAGAAACAGAAUUAGGCCGGGCGCGGUGGCUCACUCCUGUAAUCCCAGCACUUUGGGAGGCCAAGGGGGGCGGAUCACGAAGUCAGGAGAUCGAGAUCGUCCUGGCUAACACAGUGCAACCCCAUCUCUACUAAAAAUACAAAAAAUUAGCCAGGCGUGGUGGCACAUGCCUGUAAUCCCAGCUACUCAGGAGGCUGAGGCAGGAGAAUCACUUGAACCCAGAAGGCAGAGGUUGCAGUGAGCUGAGAUCACGACACUGCACUCCAGCUUGGGCGACAGAGCAAGACUCUAUCUCAAAAAAAAAAAAGAAAAAGAAAAAGAAUCAGAAUUGUAGACCACGUUCCUCCUGACGCUAACACAGAGCUCCCAUCUGACCCAGCUGUUCACUCCUCAGUAUUUAGCCACAAGAAACAGAAACACAUCCACAUUCAGACUGAUACACGGUGGUGAUGGGGGUACAACAGUGUAUAUCCACGUGAUACCACAGAGUCACACACUCAGAAAUGGUUAACAUGGUACAUUUUAUGGUAUGAGAAUUUCACCACAAUGAAAGACUUGUAUAUGAAUGUUCAAGCUGCAUUAUUUGUAUAGUUAAAAAGUAUUAAGAACUCAAAUGUCAAUUAGAUAACAUAUAGAUAUACAAAACAUACUAUAUCCAAGCAAAGGAAUAUUAUUCAGCCAUAAUAUAGAAUGAACAUUGAUUCAUCCUAUAGCACAGAUGAAGCACGAUGCUUCUGAAAGAACCGGACAAAAAGGCCACACGCUGUGUGAUUCAUUCAUACCAACAUCCAGACUAGGCCAGUCUGUACAGACAGGAUGAACUACUGGUUGGGUUUCUUUUUGGGGUGAUGAAAGUAUUCUAACAUGAAUUGUGGUAAUAGUUGUGUAAUUUUGUGAAUAUGCUGGAAACCAUUGAAUUGUAUACUUUAAAUGGGUAAGUUGUAUGGUAAGUGAAUUAUAUAUCAUAGCUGUUAAAAAUAUAUACGAUAUUAUUUUAAUUAGACAUAGAAGAACAUGAAUAGAGACUAGAAAUAUAUAAAACAAGGUGUUAAUGAUUUUCUACUAGUAGACUAGUAGAUUUGUAGUAAGUUUUUUCUACUAUAUAUACUUUUCUGUAAUUUAGGAAAACCUCCCUUUCAAUUUUAAUAACCAGGGAAAAUUUAUAUUUAAAAUAUCAAAGAAAUAAAAUUAGUUGCAACAU